ensembl:lncRNA
UGGUGACAGACGAUGACCUUCAACCGGAUGAUGCUGGUUCUUGCCCCGACUGGAUAGCAGAGACCAAAGAACUACAGACUCUUCACAACCUGCUCAAACUCUUGGUACAGGACCUCACCACACGGGUCAAGAAGGUUUCCUUCUCAUUUCUACUCUGAAGCUCACCUUCUCCUGCUCAAACUGCUGACAAAUGUUUCUGCUGCUCUAAAGUCUGGUCUCCAGAACUUCCUAAAAACUCUCAAAGUCUCUUCUGCUGCAGGUUGCUUUGUAGAACUGUUGCAGAAAACCUCACUAAACCACAUGGAGGGGCCUCAAGAU